UACGGGGGGGGGCAAGCGUUGUUCGGAAUUACUGGGCGUAAAGGGCUCGUAGGCGCCAACUAAGUCAUACGUGAAAUCCCUCGGCUUAACCGGGGAACUGCGUCUGAUACUGGAUGGCUUGAGUUCGGGGAGAGGGAUGCGGAAUUCCAGGUGUAGCGGUGAAAUGCGUAGAUAUCUGGAGGAACACCGGUGGCGAAGGCGGCAUCCUGGACCGAUACUGACGCUGAGGAGCGAAAGCCAGGGGAGCAAAACGGGG
rnacentral:rRNA from 1 species